rnacentral:rRNA from 1 species
UACCGAGUGUAGGGUUCCUAGCGAGCCCAACCUCCCACCCGUGUUUACUGUACCUUAGUUGCUUCGGCGGGCCCGCCAUUCAUGGCCGCCGGGGGCUCUCAGCCCCGGGCCCGCGCCCGCCGGAGACACCACGAACUCUGUCUGAUCUAGUGAAGUCUGAGUUGAUUGUAUCGCAAUCAGUUAAAACUUUCAACAAUGGAUCUCUUGGUUCCGGCAUCGAUGAAGAACGCAGCGAAAUGCGAUAACUAGUGUGAAUUGCAGAAUUCCGUGAAUCAUCGAGUCUUUGAACGCACAUUGCGCCCCCUGGUAUUCCGGGGGGCAUGCCUGUCCGAGCGUCAUUGCUGCCCAUCAAGCACGGCUUGUGUGUUGGGUCGUCGUCCCCUCUCCGGGGGGGACGGGCCCCAAAGGCAGCGGCGGCACCGCGUCCGAUCCUCGAGCGUAUGGGGCUUUGUCACCCGCUCUGUAGGCCCGGCCGGCGCUUGCCGAACGCAAAUC